CCCUUAGAUGUCCUGGGCCGCACGCGCGCUACACUGAUGCAUUCAACGAGUUUUACCUUGGCCGAGAGGCCUGGGCAAUCUUUUAAACCUGCAUCGUGAUAGGGAUAGAUUAUUGCAAUUAUUAAUCUUGAACGAGGAAUUCCUAGUAAACGCAAAUCAUCAAUUUGCAUUGAUUACGCCCCUGCCCUUUGUACACACCGCCCGUCGCACCUACCGAUUGAGUGGUCCGGUGAAGUCUCGAGAUUGUGGCAAUAUCCUUUAUUGGAGUUUGACUGCGAGAACUUGCCUAAACCUUAUCACUUAGAGGAAGGUGAAGUCGUAACA
rnacentral:rRNA from 1 species